rnacentral:rRNA from 1 species
GACGAACGCUGGCGGCGUGCCUAAUACAUGCAAGUCGAGCGGACAGAAGGGAGCUUGCUCCCGGAAGUUAGCGGCGGACGGGUGAGUAACACGUGGGCAACCUACCCUGUAGAUCGGGAUAACAUCGAGAAAUCGGUGCUAAUACCGGAUAGUCAUUUGAAGUGCAUGCUUCGAAUGUAAAAGAUGGCUCCGGCUAUCACUACGUGAUGGGCCCGCGGCGCAUUAGCUAGUUGGUAAGGUAAUGGCUUACCAAGGCAACGAUGCGUAGCCGACCUGAGAGGGUGAUCGGCCACACUGGGACUGAGACACGGCCCAGACUCCUACGGGAGGCAGCAGUAGGGAAUCUUCCGCAAUGGACGAAAGUCUGACGGAGCAACGCCGCGUGAGUGAUGAAGGUUUUCGGAUCGUAAAGCUCUGUUGUUAGGGAAGAACAAGUGCCGUUUGAAUAAGGCGGCACCUUGACGGUACCUAACCAGAAAGCCACGGCUAACUACGUGCCAGCCGCCGCAGUAAAAC